GCAAAAAAAGAGUGGUACCUGUCAUUCUUUGGAAUAGUACAUUAAGCGCAUAAUCAGGGCUUAAAUUCAGACGGAGAUCGGCUGAGCUGUUGCUUAGUUUCUAAGUGGAAUUGUAAUUCUAGCCGAUGCGUCAAAUAAAACAAGUUUCAGAAUCAAAGAUGGCUGUUACUGAUGAAAUUCAGCAUGAAGUUCCAGUAGUCCUACAAGAAGACUGCAAUGACAAGCCAAAAGAACCACAACCACAAUGGGUUAUCAAAAGAAACAACCUUAUACGCAAAUCAGAUUCAAAACUUGCCUCUUCCUUUAAACCAAGAAAACGAAUUGCACACCACAAGAAUGCAUUUCAUUUGGACUUGCGUAAUAAAUGGUCUCAACUUGUCACUAAUAAGAUUUCAGCCCUCGCAUUCCAGCGUUCACUACAAGGACAUAGGUGCUGCAGCUGAAAAUAUUUCACCAAAUAUUAUUAUUUGUCCGAUGAUUAUUGCACAUCAUGGAUUUUGAAUUCCAAGUCUUAGGGGACCAGGAAAAGAAAUACAAUUAUUUCCCCUUAUGCAGGCGUUUCUUCAGCUCGUUCGACUGAGCCAUCUUAUAGAAUAUCAAAAUUUUAUAUAUCUUAUAGACCUGUUCUUCAUCUGCCUGACAAAACACAGUUAAGCAGUUUUAAAUGCAAUAGCAAGUUCUUGGCUUGAAUAAUUAUGAAAUGUCAUAAAUCUUGAGAUAGUUUAAAUUUUAUUUAAUAACAGCUAUUUCAUUUUGUACUUUACCAAAUGCAAAAUGAAGCCAUAAAACAUGAUAAGAAUAAAAUACUAUAUUGACCAA